GACGAACGCUGGCGGCGUGCUUAACACAUGCAAGUCGAACGGAAAGGCCCUGCGUUUGUGGGGUGCUCGAGUGGCGAACGGGUGAGUAACACGAGAGUAACCUGCCCUUGACUUUGGGAUAACUUCAGGAAACUGGGGCUAAUACCGGAUAGGAGCUCCUGCUGCAUGGUGGGGGUUGGAAAGUUUCGGCGGUGGGGGAUGGACUCGCGGCUUAGCAGCUUGUUGGUGGGGUAGUGGCUUACCAAGGCUUUGACGGGUAGCCGGCCUGAGAGGGUGACCGGCCCCAUUGGGACUGCGCUACGGCCCAGACUCCUACGGUAGGCAGCAGUGGGGAAUAUUGCACAAUGCGCGGAAGCCUGAUGCAGCGACGCCGCGUGCGGGAUGACGGCCUUCGGGUUGUAAACCGCUUUCGCCUGUGACGAAGCGUGAGUGACGGUAAUGGGUGAAGAAGCACCGGCUAACUACGUG
rnacentral:rRNA from 1 species